rnacentral:lncRNA from 1 species
AUGCUAUGUGUCUUUCUCUUUCUUGUUUUUCAUGCAGUCUUCCAUCGUCUUCCUCUAUUCCGACCCCAGGUGUGGCUUCAUGUGCUGGAACAUCGCUCCUGUCUGGAAGUGCUCCUGCACGUUGGUGAGGACUCCCUUCCGGCCCUCGGCUGGCCUUCAUCACCUCACACCUGGAUGACCGCAACAGCUGGCCUGCCUUGGGCUAGCCUUUCUCUGCUCCAGCCUCUCCAGCUGCCAGGACCCAUCUUCUGCAAAUACCUUUGGCAUCACAUCACUUCCCUGCUCAGACCUAUUAGAUCCUAGCUCCAUUCAUCUGGCUGGGAGCCAGCCAAUUGGCCUCCCAUUCUUCCUCUUCCCUCCUUUCAAGUUCACUCCCAUCCAGCCAGCCUCAUAGGUUGCUUUAAAUCUUCUGUUAGCCCCUCUGCUAGUUUGGGUGGUCUCCUUUCCACCUCCUCCCGCCCUCCCUCCAGAAUACUUCUGGUGACUUUGGGGGAGUCAUGCAAACUGUCGAGCUUCUCCAGCCUCUUUCUCAAUGCAUUUGCCUCCCCUGCCCGCAUCGCGGCUCCACCAUUCACCUGCUAGAGGCCUUCAGGCAAGUUGCUUCACCUCUCGGUGCCUCAGUGUUCUCAUUUUUUUCAUCCAUAAAAUGGGGAUCUUAAUGGUACAUCCUCAUCAGUUCGUGGAGAAGAUUAAAAGAGGUGAUAGUGGAGUUCCCAUUGUGGCGCAGUGGAAACAUAUCUGACUAGUCUCCAUGAGGACGCAGGUUCGAUUCCCUGGCCUCGCUCAGUGGGCUAAGGAUCUGGCAUUGCUGUGAGCUGUGGUGUAGGUCACAGACGCGACUCGGAUCCCCCGUUACUGUGGCUGUGACGUAGGCCGGUGGCUACAGCUCCAAUUUGACCCCUCACCUGGGAACUUCCAUAUGCUGCAGGUGUGGCCCUGAAAAGACAAAAAAAAAAAAAAAGGAGAUAGCUGUAAAAGGACCUAGAACAAUAUUCGGCACAAAGUAACUGCCAUGGACACAUCAGCUAUUAUUACUUUUUUUUUUGUCUUUUGUCUUUUUAGGGCUGCACCCAUGGCAUAUGGAAGUUCCCAGGCUAGGGGUCUAAUCGGAGCUGUAGCCUACACUAGAGUCACAGCAACGCCAGAUCUGAGCCGAGUCUGUGACCUACACCAGAGCUCACCACCACGCCGGAUCCUUAACCCACUGAGCGAGCCCAGGGAUCGGACCCGCAACCUCAUGGUUCCUAGUUGGAUUCAUUAACCACUGAGCCACAAUGGGUACUCCAGCUAUUAUUACUUAACC